UCGGAUAUGGUGUAACGGCUAACAUUGCCGCCUCUCAUUUAUAGUCAAAACAUUCAUUGAAGGCUUCGCGGCAGCUCGGGGUUCGAUUCCCCGUAUCCGAA